ensembl:processed_transcript BB557941 expressed sequence BB557941
AUAGGUUCUGAGCUUUUCUUUCAGCUAGGUUACAGACUGGGUCCUCUACAAGUCGGCUAGUUCGCUGGGCCAGAAGAAAGGAACUGCGGACACCAUUCAGGAUCUGAGAAGCAGAUCCCAAUGCAGAGAGCAUUGACAAAUAAGCUGGAGAAGAGUGGGCCUUGUGGAAGAUGUGUAACGUAAAUUAAGCCUUGACAGGGGAAACCAGCCUAAAAAAAAGCUGUGGAAAUGCAGCUGUGGCUAUGCAAACCAGAGGAAGACUGCAGUGACAUGCAUGGCCUAGGAUCAUCCUGAAACCUCAUGAAGACUUGUUUUGGGGGCACAGGAGGCAGAUGUUCAUGAUACAUUGUUACAUGAAAGAAUUGUGUAUACUAUAAGCACAUUUGGAUAAAAAUGUAUGUACUUAGCAAAGUGAAAAGACAAAUGAUGUCUAUCAAAGAGUAACAAUGUUUAUUUCUAACAUAGUACAUGAUUAUUGAUUUCACUUAAGUAUAACCCCCUUGUUUUUUUUUUUAUGUCUUCAUUUUCUACACUAAAGAUUAAUUUUGAAAAGGCCCUUAGGAGAUGAGGGAAUUACUGGCCCCAGAACCACCUGUACAUACUUCCCAAAGCAUUAUUCUGGCAAAGCCGGUGUUUCUGGUUCAGCCUCACGAAGGAUUUCAAAUAUGGUUUGAAGUUGACAGUUUAUUUAUUUAUACCAUUAACACAGUUGAUUGAGUGCAGUGCUUUCCAACAAUGAAAAACUUGGUGGAUUAACCAUUAAAAUCUAGCCAAUCUUAUGAAAAAAGUCAAUUACACAUCUCUGCCAAUAUUUGGCACUGAUGUUAGAUUUUACAAUUUUUCUGAAUGUAGUCACCCUUAUUUAUUUAUUUAUUUUUACAAACAUUGCUCGUCCAUUUGUUGAUUGAUCAAGCAACUGGUUUGGCUGUUUGAGACAGGCAGUUUCUGCUGGCUUCAGAGUCUCAGUGUAGCCAAGAAAGACUUUGAACAGGAGCCUGGCCUGGAUGCCUCCACCUCCCACGUGUUCGGAUUACAGGGUGUGCUACCACAUCUGGCUGACUUGUCUUUUUAAAUAAAGAAAGUUUGUACCUCUGU